CACAACGCUGCUGAUGCUCAGGAGAGUCAGGAUGCACAAACUUCACAGCGCACCCUCCUUUUCAACUACAGAUCUUUUUACUGAAACGCUGGGUGGGUGCCAGGUACAUGAAGACUAACUGUUCUGGACAGACUAGAAUUCCUGGGAGAGAAGCACUCCUCUUCUAAAGGAAGUUGAAGCUGUCUUGGUUGGUGCAGUUUUUCAUUUUUUACAAGCAGAACUUAUUUUUGGAUUCUCGGCUGGAGGUUACAUGAGCUGCAUAAUUGGUUCCCUUGGGUGAGGGCUCUUCUAUUUCUACAUUAUUUCAAAUAGCAGGGAGAUGCCUUUUCAGAUUUAUCCUCUGGUGAUAGACGCCCAGCUACAUUAGUUGAAAAAGCCUGAUCUUAAAAUGACAUUUUGAUCUAUAUAUAUGUCUAUAAACACUUUGCAUGACUCAAAGAUGCUGUACAUAACAAAAUAGACUUUGAAUGUCUAUUAAAGCGUGUGCAGGUUAUGUUCCUUUUGACUUUUUGCUCACUAAAGACGAAUCAAAACUUUUGCGUAUUCGUUUUGGGUUGUUGUUGUUGUUUUUUGAAGCGUGCAACGCACUAAAAUGGCUCUUACUGAGAACUGCAGGACUUAUCAGACGCCCAAGGACAGUGGAUGUGCUCAGAGUUGCUCUGGUGAUGUGGUUGAGCUCAAUGUAGGUGGACAGGUGUAUUACACUCGCCAUGCAACCCUCACCAGCGUGCCAAACUCACUGCUGGGGAAACUGUUCUCAGCUAAAAAAGACGUUUCCAACGACCUCGCGCAGGACAUCAAGGGACGCAUCUUCAUCGACAGGGACGGGUUCCUCUUUCGAUAUGUGUUGGACUAUCUCCGCGAUAAGAGCGUGGUGCUCCCGGAUUAUUUCCCGGAGAAAGGGAGACUCAAACGCGAGGCUGAGUUCUUCCAGCUGCCUGAGCUUGUCAAAAUCCUGACGGUUGAUGAAAACAUCCACGGUGAUUUCGACGAAGCAUCCCAGGGAAGCGAUCAGAGGUUUUACCUGGACGCGCGCGAUAGGCGCUACGGCUUCAUCACGGUGGGAUACAAGAGCUCGUGCGCCUUCGGAAGGGACGCGGAUCCUAAAGCACGAGGAACACCCAAAAUCUUCAUCUGCGGAAGGGUCGGUCUGGCCAAAGAAGUUUUCGGGGACACCCUAAACGAGAGCCGGGAUCCCGACAGGACAGCCGAGCGAUACACCUCUCAGUUUUACCUGAAGUUUCUCCACCUGGAGCGCGCGUUUGAUCUGCUCGCGGAGAGCGGCUUCCACAUCGUCGCGUGCAAUUCAUCAGUCACCGCUUCUCCGCACAACAGACGCACUGAUGACAGAUACUGGUCCAAUAACGCAGAGUACGUCUUCUACCGUGGCCCAUCCGGAUGGUCUUCUUCUCACUGCGACUGCUGCUGCAAGAGCCACAAGAGCGAGCACGAGGGUGAAAGUGGCACUUCCCUAAACGAGCUCUCCACUUCCUGUUCCGAGACCCAAUCGGAAGCCAGCUCUCCGCAGGAAACGGUCAUCGUGCGUCCGGUCACCCGCCAGCCCAACAUCCAGACUUUGGACCGUCCAGUGAAGAAGGGUCCGACCCCGAUUCCAAGGAGAACUGAUCUGCUCCGCGUUCGAACCGCCGGGCCGCGUGACGUCAUGGCAGGGAAGAGGAAACCGGCCAAGGAGAAGAUGACGCCGGAGCAGGAGCUGGAGAAAUGCAUCCAGGACUUCCGGCGGAUUCAAAUUCCAGAGCGUUUUCCGGAGAGGAAGAACAUGUGGCAGUCGGAGCUCUUGAAAAAAUAUCAGCUCUGAAAUGAUUUCCUUCGGGCUCGCUGAGCCGAUUAGUGCAACACAACAGAGCUCUCAGCACAUAAGAUGACAUCAUUACUCUUCUCUGCUUGGGCUUAUUUGGCUCGUCUGUGUAACCAUGCGAUUCCUGGAGCUGUGUGAAGUCCCAUCCUGCUUCAAAAGCUUCCAGCAUCAUCCCUUUACCCAAGAAACCAAAAAUCACAGGACUUAAUGACUACAGACCUGUUGCUUUAACAUCUGUGGUCAUGAAGUCAUUUGAGAGACUGGUGCUGGGCUAUCUGAAGGACAUCACUGGACCCUUGCAGUCAAUAUGGGAUUUAACUAUAUCCUCUGACAUCUGGACAAACCAGGGACUUAUGCAAGGAUCUUGUUUGUGGACUUCAGCUCCACUUUCAACACCAUCAUCCCGGACACCCUUCAGAAUAAAUUCACACAGCUCUCUGUAUCCACCUCCAUCUGUCAGUGGAUCACCAACUUCCUGACAGACAGGUUACAGCUAGUGAGUCUGGGCACCUUCAGCACCGGAGAUCCUCAGGGCUCUGUUCUCUCCCCACUGCUAUUCUCCCUUUACACUAAUGACUACACCUCUAAAGACGCCUCUGUCAAGCUCCUGAAGUUUGCAGAUGACACAACAGUGAUCGUUCUCAUCCAGGAUGGUGACGAGUCUGCCUACAGAUGAGACGUUGAGCAGCUGGCUGUCUGGUCACAGCAACCUGGAGCUGAAGACUCUCAAAACUUUGGAGUCGAUCCUGGACUUCAGGAGAAACCCUCCACUCACCAUCAUAGACAGCACUGUGGCUGCAGUGGAGUCAUUCAGGUUCAUGGGCACAACUAUCUCUCAGGACCUGAAGUGGGACACUCAAAUUGAUUCCAUUGUGGCCCAGCAUAGGUUGUACUUCCUUUGCCAGCUGAAAAAGCUCAACCGGCCACAGGCACAGAUGACACAGUUUUACUCUGCUAUUAUUGCCCACAUUGAAAAAACCUAUAUAAACAUAUAUUUUUCAAUAUAGGUUUUGAUGUAGGUUUUUAAUAUAUGUGGCAUAUAUAAAAUUGGCCGUUUUCCUAUAUUAUAUGUACAUAUAUGCACACAUAUAUAUGUGCAUAAAUAUACCUAUAUAGGUACAUAUAUGCAAUCCGAAGAAGUAACGGGUACUGACAGUUAUGGAUAGAAAUGUAGAGCAAAGAGUACAAUAUUUGCCUCUCAAAUGUACUUGAGUAAAGUCAUGAGUAAAGUAAAGUACAGAUCCCUCAAAAUUUUACUUAAGUACUGUACUCAAGUAAAUGUACUCCGUUACUGUCCGGCUCUGGAUAUCAUGUUAAUAUAUUGCCAUAGUUAAAUUCCAUAACAUGUCAAUUACAUGUGAUACCAAUUUCACGUGUUCGCAUAUACAUAAGUUCUUGCAUAAUUUUUUUCGUUAAUUCUUAGUUUUUGCCUUUAUAAUAGAAAAUAUGAGCUAGGCAUUAUGUAUGACAGUCAGAAAUGGGAUAUGAGCUACAAAAUGACCAGAUCCUGCCAUUGGCUAUAUAGAAGACAUAUCUUGUAUGUAUAGGGCUUAUUUGUGGAAAUGAAGAAGCUAUAUAGGAGACCUAU